rnacentral:rRNA from 1 species
AUUGAACGCUGGCGGCAGGCCUAACACAUGCAAGUCGGACGGUAGCACAGAGAGCUUGCUCUUGGGUGACGAGUGGCGGACGGGUGAGUAAUGUCUGGGGAUCUGCCCGAUAGAGGGGGAUAACCACUGGAAACGGUGGCUAAUACCGCAUAACGUCGCAAGACCAAAGAGGGGGACCUUCGGGCCUCUCACUAUCGGAUGAACCCAGAUGGGAUUAGCUAGUAGGCGGGGUAAUGGCCCACCUAGGCGACGAUCCCUAGCUGGUCUGAGAGGAUGACCAGCCACACUGGAACUGAGACACGGUCCAGACUCCUACGGGAGGCAGCAGUGGGGAAUAUUGCACAAUGGGCGCAAGCCUGAUGCAGCCAUGCCGCGUGUAUGAAGAAGGCCUUCGGGUUGUAAAGUACUUUCAGCGGGGAGGAAGGCGGUACGGUUAAUAACCGUACCGAUUGACGUUACCCGCAGAAGAAGCACCGGCUAACUCCGUGCCAGCAGCCGCGUAA